rnacentral:snRNA from 1 species
GCCAAGUAAACUUAUUGCCC